rnacentral:rRNA from 1 species
UACGUAGGGUGCGAGCGUUGUCCGGAAUUACUGGGCGUAAAGAGCUCGUAGGUGGUUUGUCGCGUUGUUCGUGAAAACUCACAACUCAAUUGUGGGCGUGCGGGCGAUACGGGCAGACUGGAGUACUGCAGGGGAGACUGGAAUUCCUGGUGUAGCGGUGGAAUGCGCAGAUAUCAGGAAGAACACCCGUGGCGAAAGCGGCUCUCUGGAACGGUACUGACGCUGAGACGCGAAAGCGUGGGGAGCGAACAGG